CCUACGGGAGGCAGCAGUGAGGAAUAUUGGUCAAUGGCCGGAAGGCUGAACCAGCCAAGCCGCGUGCAGGACGAAGGUGCCAAGCAUUGUAAACUUCUUUUGUCAAGGGACAAAAUCAGGCUCGAGAGCCUGACCGAGGGUACUUGAAGAAAAAGCAUCGGCUAACUCCGUGCCAGCAGCCGCGGUAAUACGGAGGAUGCGAGCGUUAUCCGGAUUUAUUGGGUUUAAAGGGUGCGUAGGCGGACUGUUAAGUCAGCGGUAAAAGCCCGGGGCUCAACCCCGGCGAGCCGUUGAAACUGGCGGUCUUGAGAUGGCGAGAGGUAGGCGGAAUGCGCAGUGUAGCGGUGAGAUGCUUAGAUAUGGCGCAGAACUCCGAUUGCGAAGGCAGCAUACCGGCGGCGAUCUGACGCUGAGGCACGAAAGCGUGGGUAUCGAACAGGAUUAGAUACCCGGGUAGUC
rnacentral:rRNA from 1 species